rnacentral:rRNA from 1 species
GAUGAACGCUAGCUACAGGCUUAACACAUGCAAGUCGGGGGGUAACGAGAGGAAAGCUUGCUUUCCUUGUCGACGACCGGCGCACGGGUGAGUAACGCGUAUCCAACCUGCCCCCAACUAGGGAAUAACCUUGCGAAAGCAAGACUAAUACCCUAUAAUUUCCUCAGAUGUCAUCUGACGAGGAAUAAAGAUUUAUCGGUUGUGGAUGGGGAUGCGGCUGAUUAGCUUGUUGGCGGGGUAACGGCCCACCAAGGCAACGAUCAGUAGGGGUUCUGAGAGGAAGGUCCCCCACAUUGGAACUGAGACACGGUCCAAACUCCUACGGGAGGCAGCAGUGAGGAAUAUUGGUCAAUGGGCGGAAGCCUGAACCAGCCAAGUAGCGUGCAGGAUGACGGCCCUAUGGGUUGUAAACUGCUUUUAUACAGGAAUAAAGUUAGCCACGUGUGGUUAUUUGUAGGUACUGUAUGAAUAAGGACCGGCUAAUUCCGUGCCAGCCGCCGCAGUAA